rnacentral:rRNA from 1 species
UACGGAGGGUGCAAGCGUUAUCCGGAUUUACUGGGUUUAAAGGGUGCGUAGGUGGGCAGUUAAGUCAGUGGUGAAAUCUCCGGGCUUAACCCGGAAACUGCCAUUGAUACUAUCUGUCUUGAAUAUCGUGGAGGUAAGCGGAAUAUGUCAUGUAGCGGUGAAAUGCUUAGAUAUGACAUAGAACACCAAUUGCGAAGGCAGCUUACUACCCGAAUAUUGACACUGAGGCACGAAAGCGUGGGGAUCAAACAGG